rnacentral:rRNA from 1 species
UUAUGGCUCAGGAUGAACGCUAGCGGCAGGCUUAACACAUGCAAGUCGAGGGGCAGCGUGGAGUAGCAAUACUCUGACGGCGACCGGCGAAAGGGUGAGUAACGCGUGAGCAACAUGCCCGGUAGUGGAGAAUAGUCGAUGGAAACGUCGCGUAAUACUCCGUAACACAGAGAACCGCAUGAUUUUCUGUUAAUAGAUUUAUCGCUACCGGAUUGGCUCGCGUACCAUUAGCUAGUUGGCGGGGUAACGGCCCACCAAGGCGACGAUGGUUAGGGGUUCUGAGAGGAAGGUCCCCCACAUUGGAACUGAGACACGGUCCAGACUCCUACGGGAGGCAACAGUGAGGAAUAUUGGACAAUGGCCGAGAGGCUGAUCCAGCCAUGCCGCGUGCGGGAAGACGGCCCUAUGGGUUGUAAACCGCUUUUGUUGGGGAGCAAUAAGGUCCACGUGUGGAUCGAUGAGAGUACCCAGCGAAUAAGCAUCGGCUAACUCCGUGCCAGCCGCGGC